AGCCAUGCGUUGAGCAAAAAAUGAAUUAUUCUAUCGCCUUUUACUAAAGAAUAUCGUAUGCUUGUCGUUUUAAGUGGCAUGCGUUUAUUUUUGGAGGGCGCACCUUUGUGGGUGCCC